ACGACCAUACCUUCGGAAGCAUACCUGGUCUCGUCCGAUCCCAGCAGUCAAAUCCGAACGGGCGUGGUUAGUACUUGGAUGGGUGACCGCUUGGGAACACCGCGUGCCGUUGGCA
rnacentral:rRNA from 1 species